UACGUAGGGUGCGAGCGUUAAUCGGAAUUACUGGGCGUAAAGCGUGCGCAGGCGGUCGUUCAAGUCGAGUGUGAAAGCCCCCGGCUCAACUGGGGAGGGUCACUCGAUACUGAUCGACUCGAAGGCAGAAGAGGGAAGCGGAAUUCCCGGUGUAGUGGUGAAAUGCGUAGAUAUCGGGAGGAACACCAGUGGCGAAGGCGACUACCUGGCUGUUCUUGACGCUGAGGCGCGAAAGUGUGGGGAGCGAACAGGA
rnacentral:rRNA from 1 species